GCGAAAGUAAGACUAAUACCCAAUGAUAUCUCUAGAAGACAUCUGAAAGAGAUUAAAGAUUUAUCGGUGAUGGAUGGGGAUGCGUCUGAUUAGCUUGUUGGCGGGGUAACGGCCCACCAAGGCAACGACCAGUAGGGGUUCUGAGAGGAAGGUCCCCCACAUUGGAACUGAGACACGGUCCAAACUCCUACGGGAGGCAGCAGUGAGGAAUAUUGGUCAAUGGACGAGAGUCUGAACCAGCCAAGUAGCGUGCAGGAUGACGGCCCUAUGGGUUGUAAACUGCUUUUAUAAGGGAAUAAAGUGAGUCUCGUGAGAUUUUUUGCAUGUACCUUAUGAAUAAGGACCGGCUAAUUCCGUGCCAGCAGCCGCGGUAAUACGGAAGGUCCGGGCGUUAUCCGGAUUUAUUGGGUUUAAAGGGAGCGUAGGCCGGAGAUUAAGCGUGUUGUGAAAUGUAGAUGCUCAACAUCUGCACUGCAGCGCGAACUGGUUUCCUUGAGUACGCACAAAGUGGGCGGAAUUCGUGGUGUAGCGGUGAAAUGCUUAGAUAUCACGAAGAACUCCGAUUGCGAAGGCAGCUCACUGGAGCGCAACUGACGCUGAAGCUCGAAAGUGCGGGUAUCGAAC
rnacentral:rRNA from 1 species